AUGGAGCGUGGAGGGACAGCCACCCUGUUGUGUAGCUCUGACCAGCUGUGUCCUUCAGUGCAGGUCCAGCCAAGAGCCGUGGGCCACAGAUGACGCUGGUGGGGAAGCAGAGGGCAGACUAGGCAGAGGCAAGGCUUUCAUGUGCCCUGAGCCGUCAGAGAUGGGCCAGGGCCUUCAGCUUCCUCGAUAGGGCAGAAGUGAACACACUGGCUCCAUUCAGCAAAGGACGUGGACGGAGCUGCCGGGCUUGUCUGAGAGGAGGAGAAAUGUGGAAUUGAGUGAGGCUCUCUAAGAAGGUUCUGCUGGAGUUGAGAAAAAUUAGGGUGAGGCACCUCCCCGAUUUUAUGUCCUUUUUCCUGGGUCCAGCCUCCUGAACAGCUACCAUUCGCUUCUGUGAGACACCUGUCGGUGCCUCCUUUUCCAGCCCUUAAUGGAACGUUCCUCUUCCAGCCACCUCAGACUUCCCAUACCACCCUCCCUGGACAGGAAGCGUUUUUACAGGAGUUUGAAGCUUCAGGAGUGCCCUCCGGCCACAUGAAGACAAGGCGCUAACAAACAUGGCGUUCUGCAAGUUGCACCAUCACCAACUCCUGUCACUCUCACAGAGGAUAAUAACCUGUGCAGAGAGAGGGUCUCCUGUCCUGAAGUCACAGCCCGGAUCUCCAGGCUGGCUCUGCUGCCUCUGAAUGAUUUGUGGGUCACACACGCCGACAGCGUCGCCAAGGGCUGACAUCAGCCUGCUUGAGCCACGGAAACUGAAUGGGCAAGGAUGAGUUCCCCAGCACAGAGGGAGGCAUCCUCUGUCAAGACCAUCUGCGCAUGUGCUGUGCAGUCUCCAGUCUGCACUGUGAGCAGUGUGUCUCAACGGCUUUUGAGAACUGCUUCGAGAGGGGACCAGAUGCGCAGAGACAAGCUUCCAGCUUGGCUAGGGACGGACCCUCUGGGGAUGCUCCUCUCUGGCCGGGCAGCAGUAGAAGCACCUGCCUCCAUCCACAUCC
rnacentral:lncRNA from 1 species